UAUUUUCUAUCGGUGAACCCAAUGUGUUGCAGUGUGUGCAGAAGUGCAAGUGAAGCAUAAAAUGAAAACAAUUCAGUGCAUGUUUGCGAAUGGCAAAGGAAGUUGUUGAUUGAAGGUAGAACAAAAAAGGAAUGAAAAAAAAGUGUAAAGAGAUAAUCCAAUGCAGUAAUGUAUUAAAUAACGCGCCCGCGGUGUGUUUGCUGAGCAGAAACGACACUGUACAGGGGAGGGAAAAAAUAAACAAAAUUUGUUUAGCGUGCGUUGGGUGAUAUGCUGUGGUAUCAGUGAAGAUAUGCGAUUACAAAGCUUAUGCGGCACGAGGGAUUAUACUGCCAAUCACUGCGCUUAGUGGUGUAGUGGGUAUUUUUUUUAGUUUUUGAGUUCUUGUUGGUGGCUUUGGUGUUAAAGUAGUAUGGGUGUGUGUUACAUGAACUUAAUAAAAAAAAUCAUCAAAAAUCAACGAGAACCGUGGAAGAGACAGUUGCCUGUGUUGCCAGCAUGAUUGACGAUGAUUUGAUGCGCACCUAGGAAACUCGUUCGUGCGGAUCGGAUUUCAGCGUGAGCUUUUUGCGGACGUCGAUUCAAGCACACGACCCACGAGCUUGGCGUGAACAUUUGUGAGUGUCCCUUCCGCACAUAUGGUGGC